UUGCUUUCUUUUGAACAAAGCUACACAUUAAAGUUAAUUGAAUUAAUUGCCAAAAUUUGGAAGUGAUUUCUAGAUAAAUGCAAGGUUAGCAAGAGCACUGUUUGUAUAGAUAACUAGGAAUGCAUCAGAUCAAAUGAGUAAACAGAAACGAUACAAAUUGUGUUAAACGAAAUGGCAGAUAGUUUUGUAAAAGACGAUGCCAACCUCACAGCCACAGUUACAGCAGAUGAGAUGAACUCACCUAUGACAGAGCUGGGCAUCGGAUUGCCCAUUUCUCCGAUUAGUACUAAGGUACUAAGUAAACUUCGCACGGCUUUCGAAAUAAUUUUAAAUUACAUUCACACCGAUUUUGGCGGGGCAGUACCGAUUUUGAAAA